CUUCAACCUUCUAGUUCUUGGUUCAAAUCCAAGUGCUCUUGAUAAAUUUCAAUUAAAUAACCAUUAGUUUAAAUUUAAAAACAGAAGACAAUAUAAAGUUUUCAGUGUGGAAUAAAAAAAUUGAAUUAAAAGAACACGUAGAAACAAAUAAAACAAAAUAAAUUAAGAUAUAUAUAUAUUAUUUAUAUAAAGUAUAUAAAGAAAUUAUUAUGGAUUAUAAGUUAUGUAUUAAAGAGAAUAAAUUAUAGCUAAAUAUUUAUAAGAAAUAUUUAUAAUAUUAACUCUAAGAGAAAUUAAAUAAUAAACAAAGUGAAUUGAAGCAUCUUAGUAACUUUAGGAAAAGAAAUCAAAAGAGAUUCUAUGAUUAACGUGAGUUAAAGUAGAGCAGUCUAAAAAGUAGAACGGUAGAUAAACUGUUUAAACUUUAUGGGGAACCUUCCUCAAAGACUAAAUAUAAUACAUACACGUUAGUGUAAAGUACCGUAAGGGAACGAUAUGUAAAUAGUAAUUUUAUAAGCAGUUCGAGGCGUAAGCUAUAGAACGUACCUUUUGCAUAAUGGGUCACCAAGUUAACAUUAGAUGCAAGCGUGCAUAUGAAGCAUGCGUAGAUAAACCAAGCGUUAAAAUAACGGUAUAGUAUCUAAAGUUAGACCCGAAGCCUAGGGAUUUUACCACAAUCAGGAUUAUAAAAGUCCGAACGGUAUAUUGUUGCAUAAAUAUCCGAAGAAUUGUGGUAGGUAUAGUGAAAGACAACACUGACUAGGAAUAGCUGGUUUUCUGCGAAACCUAUGAUAGUAGGCAAUUUAAGUAAAUAUCUUAGCAGGUACAGAAUUUAAUCUCAGACAAGACAUGUAUAACUCUUUAUUGGUUUAUACAUGUUUUAUUUUGUACAAAUUGGGGGAUCGUGAAGAUUUUAUCAGUGAGUAUGUAGAAUCGGAAUGGCAAAGAUAUAUUUUGAAUUAUCAGACAUAGAAUGAGAAGGUUGUAUGUCAAAAGGGAAACAGCCCAGAACAAGAGUUAAGGUUCCUAAAUUAUUAGUUAAGUGAAAUUAAGAAGGUUUUUAUUUAAGUCGACAAGGAGAUAGGCUUAGAAGCAGCCAUAAUUUUAUGACCUCGUAACAGAGCGCUUGUUAAGUUAUAAAAGCAUCGAAAAUUUAACGGAUCUAAACAAUAUACCGAAACCUUGUCCAUGUUAAUUUAUGAUAAAAAUUUAUUAUAAAUAAAUGGGGUAGCAGAACGUUGGGUUAUUUUAGGAUUUUACUUUUUUAAAGUAAAAUACAACAAAUUAACCUAAGUGAUAAUGGUGACAUGAGUAACUAAAAGAAAAAUAUUCCGCCUAAAGCUUAUGGAUAGAUUUAAGUAACGGCCUCUAAGUUUAUAUUACCUAAAGGUUUGAACGAUGAGAAAAUCUUUUUUUACUAAGGACAACAUUUUUAUGUGCAAAAUGUGCAGGAAAAGUAGUAAAUAUUAAGGAUUUGUUUACAAAUUAUAAAUUUGUUUACAAAUUAAACAACCGUACCUAGAAACUGAAACAAGUAAGCUAGUAGAGAAUACGAAGGCGUAAAUGAGCUAACAAUCAUAAAGGAACUCGGCAAAAUGACUACCGUAACUUAGGGAUAAGGAGGGCUCAUUAUUCUUGAUUAAUAUCGAGUAAAAAGGAAGAAGCAUAAAAUGGUGUUGUACGACUGUUUAAUUAAAACACAGCACUUUGCAGAAAGAUAAAAAAAUCUAAGUAUAAAGUGUGAUAUCUGCCCGGUGCCGGCUGGUUAACAGAUAUACUUAAGUAUAUUACUACUUAAAAUAGACGGAACCCCCGGUUAAAGGCGGCCUUAACGUGAGGGUCCUAAGGUAGCGAAAUGCCUUGGCCGUUAAAUGCGGUCUCGCAUGAAUGGUGUAACGAUACAACAGCUGUCUCUAUGAUUGACUCAGUGAAAUUGGAAUAGCUGUGCAGAUACAGCUUACCUCUAGUUAGACGAGAAGACCCUAUGCAGCUUUACUGUCACUAAUUAUAGAAUACGUUAAACAAUUAUCAGUUUAUAAGGUAAUAGAUUAUAUAAUCAUGAGAACCCUUUAUUUUUUUCAUCGUAUGAAUGAAUUAACUUAGGAAAACCUACUAUAUAAUGAAUAUAACCCUUACUAGGUUAAUUAUUAUUUAGUAUAUAGUAAAAGUUUUAGUAAGUUAACCUAGUUCAACUUUUAUAUAUACUUUAUUGUAUUUAUAAAAGUAACCUUUGGUAAGGAAUUAUCGCUAGGAGACAGUUUAUGUGGGGCACAGACCCUGUAAAGAGUAAACAGGUGUGUCUAAUAAUUUACAAACAAUUUGUUUGCAAUUUUUAAUAGUUUAACUAUUAUUAAUCAUAUAUAUUAAUUAUAUUUAUACUUAGUAUAAAUAUAGUUAUAAUUAGGUAAGAUUUUCACUACAGUGAAAGUAGAGAUAAUCAAAAAUAGUAUGAAUUUUUCUACUAUUUUUUUAGUUGGAGCUUAUAGCUUAACUAAUGUUUUUAUUAUCUAAAAAGCUCAACGGCUAAAUCUUGCCUUACUGUUUGAUUAUCUACAAAUCUUACAGUUGCGUAAGCAGGGCAUAGGAUCACAAGAUACAAAAAGGAAAGAUCUUGGAUUAUUGGAAAAGCUACGCUAGGGAUGUUUGUCCUUUAAUAUUCGGGCGCGAGCUCGAAUAAUUAAUACAUAUAUUGGGUAAAUUUCAAGAAUUGCUAUAUUAGCAGAUUUGAAGCGAAAUUU
rnacentral:rRNA from 1 species